rnacentral:piRNA from 1 species
UACUCGCGUGGGAACGAGAGGACACUCGUG